GACGAACGCUGGCGGCGUGCUUAACACAUGCAAGUCGAGCGGUAAGGCCCUUUCGGGGGUACACGAGCGGCGAACGGGUGAGUAACACGUGGGUGACCUGCCCUCAGCUCUGGGAUAAGCCCGGGAAACUGGGUCUAAUACUGGAUAUGACUCCAUGACGCAUGUUGUGGGGUGGAAAGCCUUGUGCGGCUGAGGAUGGACCCGCGGCCUAUCAGCUUGUUGGGGGGGU
rnacentral:rRNA from 1 species